rnacentral:rRNA from 1 species
UUGAAGCACGGACCAAGGAGUCUAGCGUGUGCGCGAGUCAUUGGGUGUAAAACCUAAAGGCGCAAUGAAAGUGUCAGGGGUGCCUCCUUUAGGAGCGCAUCCCGUCGGGAGGAUGGGCCGCCGUACGAUCACUCGUCGGAGCCCCGCACUCCCGGGGCGUCUCGUUCUCAUCACGAGUGGAGACGCACCAGGAGCGCACACGCUGGUACCCGAAAGAUGGUGAACUAUGCCUGGCCAGGACGAAGCCAGGGGAAACCCUGGUGGAGGUCCGAAGCGAUUCUGACGUGCAAAUCGAUCGUCUGAGCUGGGUAUAGGGGCGAAAGACCAAUCGAACCAUCUAGUAGCUGGUUCCCUCUGAAGUUUCCCUCAGGAUAGCUGGCUCUCGGGAAGAGACGAGUCUCAUCCGGUAGAGCGAAUGAUUAGAGGUGAUGGGGUCGAAACGACUUCAACCUAUUCUCAAACUCCCAAUAGAUGAGAGCCCCGGCUUGCUUAAAAGUGAAGCCGCGGGACUCGGAUCAGAGAUGC